CCCUUAAAGGCGCAGCGCAGCGCGGAGGCCGGGGUGGGGAUUUGCCGAGCGCCGUUCCCGCCCCGCCGGCCCCCUCGGUUCGCGGGUCUCCUCCGGGGGAGCGGGCGUCUGAGGCCCUCGGCAACGCUGGAAAAUGUACCAACAAGCUCAUCACUGCUACAGACCCUUCACAGCUUUGCCAGCCACUUCUCCACAGGUUUCCAGAACUUCUGUUUGUUUGCAAGCGUUGAAGUCCCACUCCCUAUAAAACUGAAGUAGAAAUGGACAUAGACAAAAAGCAUCCCAUCGUGCAUACAGCCACUUGGGAGCAGCUUGGUUUGUUGAAAGAACAUCUUCAGUGUAUCUUGGAAAAUUAAUGGUGCAUGAUUCUACACUAUGUCAUCGAGAUGAUAGGACCAGGUGGAGACAUGAUAACCUUGGAGAAGAUCUGACUCACGGUGCCAAACACAAGAGGCUUGCCAUUAUUCUCCGCCUGCAGGGGAACUGGUAUAAACCUUAAACCAAUCCUCCCCUGCUGCAGGACCUGCACAGCUCAGAGGCAGAAGCCGUUUACAUGCAUUUAUUUCCACAGAAUCAUUCCAGAAUGAAAGCCGGCGAUGCUAGAAAAACCUUACAUAUUUAUGCUGCCAUGACUGUGCACUUUUGCACUUUAAUACUCCGGGAAGUAUUGGGAAAAUGUAAUCCUGUGGCAAGUUUGGCUUUCUGAAGGAUAAACUACCCGUGUGACAUUCAGGUCGUAAAUGCUGCAAAGACCAAUGCAAACACACCCCAGCAACGCUGAGG